AUUUAAAGAAAGCGUAAUAGCUCACUGGUCGAGUCGGCCUGCGCGGAAGAUGUAACGGGGCUAAACCAUGCACCGAAGCUGCGGCAGCGACGCUUAUGCGUUGUUGGGUAGGGGAGCGUUCUGUAAGCCUGCGAAGGUGUGCUGUGAGGCAUGCUGGAGGUAUCAGAAGUGCGAAUGCUGACAUAAGUAACGAUAAAGCGGGUGAAAAGCCCGCUCGCCGGAA
rnacentral:rRNA from 1 species